rnacentral:rRNA from 1 species
GAGCAAAUCUCAAAAAAACAAUCUCAGUUCAGACUGCAGGCUGCAACUCGCCUGCACGAAGUCGGAAUUGCUAGUAAUCGUAGGUCAGCAUACUACGGUGAAUACGUUCCCGGGCCUUGUACACACCGCCCGUCACACCAUGGGAGUCAGCAACGCCCGAAGUCAGUGACCUAACCGAAAGGGAGGAGCUGCCAAAGGCGGGGCCGGUAACUGGGGUGAAGUCGUAACAAGGUAAC